AGCACCUGAUGACCCCUAACGCUGUGGCUGGCGACCUCGGGGAAGAGUGGGCAGUGCUUAGAGAACCCUCUUCAGGCGUACCGCCUGGCGCAGUUGGAAGAACGGGCUCUCGAAGGGAUUUCUAGACCCAGUGUCAUUUCCCAGCUGGAGCAGAAGGAAGAGCCCGGGGUGCCACCACUGCAAACUUUUGAGACAAGGACGAUCCCGAGGGAAAGCACCCAGACUUUGAGAAUCAGGUAAAAAAACUCCAUCAGGACACUUUGGAAACAGCAGAACAAGGUGGAGCAUCCUCAGAAAGGGCCAAUAAAAGUGUCGCUCGUACUCCCGUCCGGGGAGGAACCUGGGAGAGGGGCCUUGAAUCAGGAGAGCGUGGCCGCCAUCCAGGACAGGGCCGUCGGGAGCCCUCCUCGCAGGACGGGGACCUAACCCAGCUCCUGGGUGGAUUUGUAGGGAGGAAGCCUGUGUGUGCAGAGUGUGGGAAAAGCUUUAACCAGAGGUCCUGUCUCGUGAGGCACCUAAGAACCCAUAGCGGGGAGAGGCCUUAUAAGUGCGCCGAGUGCGGGAAAGCCUUCAAACAGAGCUCAGGCCUCGUCACCCACCGCAGAACCCACACGGGAGAGAGGCCCUGCCCGUGCAGUGCCUGCGAGAGGAAGUUCAGCGACAGCUCCACGCCGGGGAGAGACCCUACGCGUGCCCGGAGUGUGGGAAGACUUUCGGGUGGAAGCCGCACCUGGUCAUGCACCAAAGAACCCACACGGGAGAGAAGCCCUACACGUGCCUCAAAUGCCAUACAAGCUUCAUUCGAAGCUCAGAUCUCAUCACCCACCAGAGGACGCACACGGGAGGGAAGCCUUACGGGUGCGAUGACUGCGGGGAGAGUUUUCGCCAGGGCUCGGAUUUGGUGAGGCAUCGGCGGCGGACGCACACGCAGGGGAGCGGCCCUUGCGGUGCCCGCGGCGCGGGAAGGCCUUCAGAGACAGCUCUCACUUCGCGGCUCGCAUGACCACUCACGCCGGAGAAAGGCCUUUCCGUUGUCCCUCCUGCCACAAGGGUUUCAGCUAGAGCUCACACCUGGUCGCGCACGAGAGGACCCGCACACAGGCGAGAGGCCUUUUCAGUGCGGCGACUGUGGGAAAGGCUCCGCUGACAGCGCUGCCCUCCUUAAGCACCAGCGCACCCACUCGGGAGAGAGACCCUACCGAUGGACCCACUCGGGAGAGAGACCCUACCGAUGCGGCGAGUGUGGGAGGAGCUUCAGCCAGAGCUCCCACUUCGCGACCCACCAGCGCGUCCACGUGGGGGGCAGGCCCUUUCGGUGCCCUGAGUGCGGCAAAACCUUCCGUCAGCGUUCGCGUGUCCUGACACACCACAGGACGCACACGGGAGAAAGGCCUUUUCGCUGCGGCAAAUGCGACAAGCGCUUCCGUCGGAAAGCACACCUUUUAUGCCAUCAAAACACUCAUCUGACUUAGGAAAUGGUCUCCAGUGGCUCUCCCGUUCCCUUCCACGUUUUGGUUGCUGCGGGCUUCAAGCCCCCCACGGAGAGAAAACCCGAACCCGGGCUUCGGAGGCUUCCCGAGGGCCCUGACCCGUUCAGUCUCUCUGCUCUUCCCCACGUUUUGUGAUGAGGAUAAAACUUUAGGGUCCGAAGAACAUUUUGAACACAAAAGGCAAUCCUUCCGUGUUUUUGAUGGACUCUUAGACAGGGAAAUGGGAGUUUAAUGACUGAUGCCUGCUUACUGAAAGAGAAGCGAGAUACAUGUGGCCUAGAGA